ACUCAGUGAAAUUGAACUCGCUGUGAAGAUGCAGUGUACCCGCGGCAAGACGGAAAGACCCCGUGAACCUUUACUAUAGCUUGACACUGAACAUUGAGCCUUGAUGUGUAGGAUAGGUGGGAGGCUUGGAAGUGUGGACGCCAGUCUGCAUGGAGCCGACCUUGAAAUACCACCCUUUAAUGUUUGAUGUUCUAACGUUGACCCGUAAUCCGGGUUGCGGACAGUGUCUGGUGGGUAGUUUGACUGGGGCGGUCUCCUCCUAAAGAGUAACGGAGGAGCACGAAGGUUGGCUAAUCCUGGUCGGACAUCAGGAGGUUAGUGCAAUG
rnacentral:rRNA from 1 species